rnacentral:rRNA from 1 species
CCUACGGGUGGCAGCAGUAGGGAAUCUUCCACAAUGGACGAAAGCCUGAUGGAGCAACGCCGCGUGAGGGAAGAAGGGCUUCGGCUCGUAAAGCUCUGUUGGUAGUGAAGAAAGAUAGAGGUAGUAACUGGCCUUUAUUUGACGGUAAUUACUUAGAAAGUCACGGCUAACAACGUGCAGCACGCGCGGUAAUACGGAGGUGGCAAGCGUUGUCCGGAUUUAUUGGGCGUAAAGGGAGUGGAGGCGGUUCAAUAAGUCUGAUGUGAAAGCCUUCGGCUCAACCGGAGAAUUGCAUCAGAGACUGUUGAACGUGAGUGCAGAAGAGGAGAGUGGAACUCCAUGUGUAGCGGUGGAAUGCGUAGAUAUAUGGAAGAACACCAGUGGCGAAGGCGGCUCUCUGGUCUGCAACUGACGCUGAGGCUCGAAAGCAUGGGUAGCGAACAGGAUUAGAUACCCUAGUAGUC